GGGGCUGUAGCUCAGAGGUACUGUGCUUGCCUGAUAUGCACAAGGCCCUAGGUUCAAUUCCUAGCACCCUA
rnacentral:tRNA from 1 species